AAACCGUGGUGUGGGCAAGAGCUUACAAGAUCCUUGAACCGUUCCCAACACUAGAAGAUAGUUUCAUCCUCCCUUUGGGCGAAGUUCAUGAUUGAUUUUCUAAGGGU